AAAAAACUGCUCAAACUGAACUAGAGUCCACCCCCGAUCUCGCUCCCGAGCCCAAACCAAUCCAUUCCCCUGGGCCCCCCUCCCGAUUUGGUCGCCGCCACAAUCAUCGCCGCUGAAUCCGGCGUCGCCCGCCCCCUUCUCUUCCAAUCUCCUGGUCUGCAGGGUAGACCGCCCACCAGAUCCCUCACAAAGAACCUGUCACUUGUGACAGAUACGGGCGACCAAGGGGUUUGACACGCCUCCUCGCUAGCCCUCGGUGCGGCGGCAGUCUCGAUGGAAUCCUGCCCUGGUGGGGGAUCCGAGGGAAGAAGCCGACGAGCACAAGGCGCUACUGCCAUGGCGUCCGAAGGGAGGCAUGGCAGGAAAUCUGAGGGAGGAAGUCUACAGGAAAUCCGCCAACGGCAUAUGUGAGCACCGCCUGCUGCUGUUGUUGUUGCAGCAGCAGUAGCGUGUGCGUGUCCGACUCCCACCUGUUUGGAUCGAACGACUUCUCGAUCCCUGGCUGCGUUGGGUAUCGAAUCCCAAAGUGAGAGGUUAACUCGUCGGCGUUGGACUGCCCUCUACACGAGCGCCAUCAGGUCGACUUUUCUUUCUCUGUAGCUCCUGUCAUUCCCGAAACAACAACAACGUGCACUGUAUUGAACCUGUCAUUCCUGCUUAGCAGUUCAGUCUGUAUUGAAUGAACAAUUGCCAUAUCUCUUUUACUAUAAUUGGGUUUUUGCAAAGAUAUUUUCAGACCAAGAGAUCGCGGGCUUAUUGGCUAAAGCUAAUGAUCAAAUCCUUGGACACUGGUAACAAUUAUUGAUAUGUGCGUGUGGGUCAUUCGCACAAACAAGUGUGUGAUUCCAUGACUUCUAUUAUAACUGAUUUUGAUUCCAAGUGUGUGAUUAAAUUGACAUUGUUUGAUCAUGCUUUGUUCCCUGUUUGAUCAGCGACAUCUUUCUUGUACACUAGCAGAAAUGGGUUUACACAACCAACUGUUUCGUCACUAUGCACUACAAAACUCAUUGGUUAAUACUUGAGUCCCUGACUCAACUGCAAGCAGGUUUAUUUCCCAGACAGACAGAUCGAGUUGAUGUGCCAGACAGAUCGAGUAUUGACCACUGUAGCAUAAUCUGUAAAUAACAUUAUGAUAUUCCUUGAGUAUGGCUUACUUAUCGUUUACUCAUACUCAUUGUUGCAUGGUGAACUAUGAGAAGAGGAUUAUCCUCUGUAGAUCCUGUCAAGUUGGAGAUGUUGCACACAUUUCAACGACAUGGAUCAUUAGCACUUUGUGUCUUAUCUUCUUCAGAAACAUAAAAGAAUAUGUAGUACUGGUGCAACUCAUAACUGUCGAUGUUAUGUUGAAUGGAGAGUGGUCAGUUUCUAUUGGUACUUUUCUCUCUUUGAAAUGCACACUGGUAUUAAAACAUAUUUUACAGCCAUGCGUUUUGUCUAUAGUUUUUUGUAAUACAGAAAUGCAAUUGUAAUGAAGAUGAUACCUUUCUGAACCAUUCCUACCAUUUUGUAAGGAAUAAACUACAUAUCUUACAUAGGUUUCUCAUCAUAGAAAAUACAAGGUCAGAUAUUUUAUUUAGGUCAAACUAUAGUAUGUGUGUUAUGAUUUUCUUCUCUAUAUAGCAAUGCUCAUCUGAUAAUCUUUCUUCAACUGACUGUUUCACAGUACAAGGCUACAAGCUCAAGCCAUUGAGAGAUGAUUCAAGUCAUGCACUGAUGUUCAGAUUUCCAUUCAUUCCACACUGUUGAUAUUUAUGAUCCACCUUUGGUAUGUACAUCUCUGAAUGUACACAGGUCUGGCAUUCACAUACCUGAAGGAUGUGGGAUUUGAGCGUGUGUGGGAAGAGCAAAAAGAUACUUUUCUAAUCCCUUGAGCUGGACAUUUUUCAUGCAUAUAUUUUUCAAUAUGCUGGCUUCCAAGGAUGAAUAGGUGGAGCCAUGGCCUUCACAUAAAGACAUCGUCGUAAGAAAUUUAAGGUCAAUUAACUUCACCUUUUUGUAAUGCUUAUCAUGUUAAUGGGUGUAUUUUUUCCCAUGCAUGUUUGUAUAGUUUGGCCGAAGAUUGUUUUUUCCUGUUUACGGCCUGACUUUAAGUUUUGAACCCGAGCCAUAAUUUUAAGUGCGGCCCUGUCUCUGUAAUCACCAUGUCCCGCCCACCACUUGGUAAUGCAAAUUUUUGGUCCAC
rnacentral:rRNA from 1 species